rnacentral:rRNA from 1 species
GUGAGGAAUAUUGGACAAUGGCCGAGAGGCUGAUCCAGCCAUGCCGCGUGCGGGAGGACGGCCCUAUGGGUUGUAAACCGCUUUUGUCAGGGGGCAAUAAGGUCCACGUGUGGACUGAUGAGAGUACCUGGCGAAUAAGCAUCGGCUAACUCCGUGCCAGCAGCCGCGGUAAUACGGAGGAUGCAAGCGUUAUCCGGAUUUAUUGGGUUUAAAGGGUGCGUAGGCGGAGUCUUAAGCGUGAGGUGAAAUGCCACUGCUCAACAGUGGAACUGCCUCGCGAACUGGGAUUCUGGAAUGCCCCUGCCGUGGGAGGAAUGUGUGGUGUAGCGGUGAAAUGCAUAGAGAUCACACAGAACACCGAUUGCGAAGGCAUCUCACGAAGGGGUGAUUGACGCUGAGGCACUAAAGCGUGGGGAUCAAACAGGAUUAGAAACCCUAGUAGUCC